UACGUAGGGUGCAGGCGUUAAUCGGAAUUACUGGGCGUAAAGCGUGCGCAGGCGGUUUGCUAAGACAGGUGUGAAAUCCCCGGGCUCAACCUGGGAAUGGCGAUGGUGACUGCAAGGCUAGAGUUUGGCAGAGGGGGGUAGAAUUCCACGUGUAGCAGUGAAAUGCGUAGAUAUGUGGAGGAACACCGAUGGCGAAGGCAGCCCCCUGGGUCAAAACUGACGCUCAUGCGCGAAAGCGUGGGGAGCAAACAGG
rnacentral:rRNA from 1 species